GAUCAGUGGGAAUCAAGGAUAUGUAUUGACCAUUGGUUGGGCAGAUGCAUUCGUCCCUCGUGCCCAUUCAUUCACCUACAUGCGUGUGAGUUGUCAAAAGGCCUCCCUCGGCAGUAUGAUCCGGUGCCAGAAAACAACUUCGACACUCCUGGCCCACCCGUUGACAACGCCUCGGAUGGGUCCAGCGUCAGCAAAACGGAGCCAUCAGUAAAGCCAUAC